GCAAACUUGGUCAUUUAGAGGAAGUAAAAGUCGUAACAAGGUUUCCGUAGGUGAACCUGCGGAAGGAUCAUCAAUGAAAUUAUACCAUUUGGUUUAUUUUUUCAAGCCAAGGUUGAGCUUUUUUGGCUUGCAAACAACACAGAUACCCAAAAAACUUGGAAAAAAAAUUUUCUAGUGGUUGCCUGAUAUAAAAGUGUUUGGAAAAAAAAGAGAAAUAAAACAACUUUCAACAACGGAUCUCUUGGCUCUCACAUCGAUGAAGAACGCAGC
rnacentral:misc_RNA from 1 species